AUUGAACGCUGGCGGCAGGCCUAACACAUGCAAGUCGAGCGGAUGACGGGAGCUUGCUCCUUGAUUCAGCGGCGGACGGGUGAGUAAUGCCUAGGAAUCUGCCUGGUAGUGGGGGACAACGGUUCGAAAGGAACGCUAAUACCGCAUACGUCCUACGGGAGAAAGCAGGGGACCUUCGGGCCUUGCGCUCUCAGAUGAGCCUAGGUCGGAUUAGCUAGUUGGUGGGGUAAUGGCUCACCAAGGCGACGAUCCGUAACUGGUCUGAGAGGAGGAUCAGUCACACUGGAACUGAGACACGGUCCAGACUCCUACGGGAGGCAGCAGUGGGGAAUAUUGGACAAUGGGCGAAAGCCUGAUCCAGCCAUGCCGCGUGUGUGAAGAAGGUCUUCGGAUUGUAAAGCACUUUAAGUUGGGAGGAAGGGCAGUAAGUUAAUACCUUGCUGUUUUGACGUUACCGACAGAAUAAGCACCGGCUAACUCUGUGCCAGCCGCCGCGGUAA
rnacentral:rRNA from 1 species